CACUACCAGCCCCUGCUCUUGAUAUACUUUAAGGUAGAGAAACUUCAUUCACAAGCUACCUGGGUAACUGAGAGGGUGAGUAGGAUCUACCUGGGUAACUGAGAGGGUGAUAGGAUCUACCUGGGUAACUGAGAGGGUGAGUAGGAACUACCUGGGUAACUGAGAGGGUGAGUAGGAUCUACCUGGGUAACUGAGAGGGUGAGUAGGAUCUACCUGGGUAACAGAGAGGGUGAGUAGGAUCUACCUGGGUAACUGAGAGGCUGAGUAGGAUCUACCUGGGUAACUGAGAGGGUGAGUAGGAUCUACCUGGGUAACUGAGGGUGAGUAGGAACUACCUGGGUAACUGAGAGGGUGAGUAGGAUCUACCUGGGUAACUGAGAGGGUGAGUUGAUCUACCUGGGUAACUGAGAGGGUGAGUAGGAACUUGUAUCCAAGGCUGAUGAUAUGGUAUGCAUCAGUCAGCAGGUUGUACCGUCUCAGCAUCUGGUAACAACACAGUGGACAUUCUUUGUAGGAUGGAGCAGCAUUUAUUCUUCAUUUCCACCACAUCUUCCAUUUCCCGUCAGGGCCGUCCUCCACUGUCCUGGUCAUGUAUUCUUCAUUUCCAUCAGGGCCAUCCUCCACUGUCCUGGUCAUGCAUUCUUCAUUUCCAUCAGGGCCGUCCUCCACUGUCCUGGUCAUGUAUUCUUCAUUUCCAUCAGGGCCGUCCCCCACUGUCCUGGUCAUGUAUUCUUCAUUUCCAUCAGGGCCAUCCUCCACUGUCCUGGUCAUGUAUUCUUCAUUUCCGUCAGGGCCAUCCUCCACUGUCCUGGUCAUGUAUUCCUCCAAUCCUGAACUUUUCAGUAUUUUCCACUGUUACAGCGAGGCUCCUCAGCUCACACUGCAAAUUGUCAACAGUUGCUCGGCUAUCAAAUUGAAGCAAACAUUUUGCUGAGCUUUUGAAGGGUUGUCUGUGGAAGACCAUUGGAUGUUAUCUGGGAGAAGUUUCUAGGAUCCAGAAUGUCUAGGUCAGCAUAUAGAGCGAGCCACGAGACAGAAAUCACCUGUGGAUACUAUCUGUGACUGUAUCCAUAAUUUGAUUGUGGACUUGGAACUUUAGAGGCACUCUCUGCCUCUGUCAAAGCUUCAUCUUGAGCCGUCUCUCCAGACAUGAUUUUCUUCUUUCUUGCCUUUUUCUGUGGCAGAGUGGCUUCCACCUCCUCCAGCUCUGUGUCCUCAUCCUGUUCUUUGAUCUUCUUAUUUGUAAACUGAACAAAUGUGUCUGUAGCUGCCUUAAUGGGGUCAAGGUCUCUUGCCAUGCCUUUCAGGGUUUCCUGUGUAGCCACAACCAUUCGAUGGGCAGACAGGAUGUCCAUCCCACUUGUCUGCAGGUAUUUGGACAGUGGUGACGUGUUCUCAAAUAUCCAAAGAAAUAUUUGAGCGGUCAGUAUCGUCUCAUACCGGAGAAGAACCUCAGUAAAUCCUCUUGCCUUCACCCAAACAGUUGUCUUCGUGUUGGCCUGUCCUUGUAUGGCUGACAGUAUGAGGAGUACUUCAACAUAGAGACCCUGGUCUGGUUUUUCAAAGGAUCCAAAGACCUUCUUCAAAGCUCUAUCCUUAAGCCCACCAGCGUGUUUCUCCGAUUGGAGAUAGGGGUCUGUGUCAAGUGUCCUGGCUCUUCUUCUCCCACACAUCCAUCCUUUGGUCGGAUUCACGGAGUAACACAGCAAUGUCGUUAAGGAGAGCAAACAGUGACCCACUCGCUAAGACAAUUUCAGUUGUUGUCAGACCAAACCAGAUUAAGGACACGUGCAUAGCGCCAUACAUGCACUUGAUUGGGGGACUUUGAGGAUAACAGAGUAGAGAAGCCCUUAUAUUUGCCCUGCAUAUUGGAUGCUCCAUCCGUAGCUUUGCCAAUGCACUUGUCUAAUUUGUGUUUAUCCACAAAAUCUGUCAACAGCUGGACAAAGUACUGUCCAGUAGAUCCCUGACACUUCACAACAGCCACGAGCCUCUCUUGUACGACGUCUGUCACAUAUCUCAUAAUGACAGAGCACUGGUCUUGCGAAGUUAUGUCCUGAGUUGUGUCGAUCUGGACAGAGAACAUUCCAGCUUGUUCAAUUUCACUUGACAUGUUCUCUUGGAUAAUGCUCUGAAUUGUGUGAAUGACGGUGUUGACAGUAUUUUUUGAGAGGAGUGUGAUUAGAGAACCUCUGCCUCUUGCCCCAGGACUGAUGUAGGUUCUUGCUUUUCUCAAUGCAUUCGGUGAGAUGUUCUUUCAACCAGACGUCAUACAUUCCCAGUAGUAUUAUCAUCCAAAAGAAAUGACCGUGAUCGAUACUGGUGUCCUCUAAUGUAUACGCAGGCGGCCCACCGGCCCAGAGGUUGACCAGCCCACAGGGAAUUCUCCCGGUGGUCAGUCCGUUACCGUCUGAGUAAGAUCUAGGAUCAGUUUUGCCUUAUUUUAGAUCAUAAUGAAUAAUAUUAUAUGGACAGAUCCUAGAUCAGUACUCCUACUCUGAGAUGCUUUGUGGUUGUAGGCCCAGAUGUGCUGACUGUGUAAAGGGUUAGAGGUUGUUUUCAGAGAUUUAGUUUGACUGUUCAACACCCAUAAAAAUAUGGGGGGAGGUGUUGCUGAACAUGUUUCCCAGACAAAUUCCUGUGAAGCUGAGAGAGGAUCUCGUGCCAAAAAGGUUGUUGAAGUGUUGUGGUUGCAGGUUCACCUGCCACAUCUAAAGCCUAUUAUUUUGGGGUACUGCUAUCUACCGAGUGCUAGCAGUCAGUAUCUGGAUAAUAUGUGUUAAAUGGCUUGAUAGUGUGUGACGUUAAGAGAGAUAUCUGGGUGACCUGAAUAUAGACUGGUUUUCAUCAAGUUUUCACCACUCAAUAUGAACCUGCUCACUGUAACCAGUGCCUGUAAUCUGGUUCAUGUUAUCAGUCAACCUACCAAAAAAGUGUACAAACAAUAAAACUUUAUUAUUCACGUGUAUUGAUUAUAUUUUUACUAAUGCUGUAGAACUUUGUUCUAAAGGUGAAAACAUGAAAUUACCCAGGGAAUCGAUAGAACAUCACUCAGAUGCACAAAAACAAUAUAACAUUCAAAAUGGCUGAGCCUUUCCUUUAGUGGUUAUGCCAAGAGGUCCGAACCCCUUGACGAGGUCGCUAUAGGUGUUAAAGGUCAUUACAAUAUCUAGUUAGCUAGCCCAAGUAAAUUUACCCCGAGAUUAAAUGUGCUCUACUCCACAUAAACUAUAAUAACCAUUCAGACCAUCGGUGCCCCCAGUCCACUCUUUCUUAAUAUCUUGCAGCCACAAUUGUCUUUGAUUCUUUUGGAAGGGAUGAUAUCCGUUUUGGUAUAAUAUACAUCCGCUUGGUAUAGAGAAUAAUCUCCAAACCUGAUCACCUCGAUUAGCACACUUUUACCGCAUAGCAGGGGCGUAUUCAUUACGCUGAUUCUGUUGCAAAACGUUUCGCAAACGGAACGAAACGGAGAGGGACCUACCUGAAUUUGUCCAAUAGAAACUCGUUUUCAUUGCAAAACGCAACUGUUUCGGACUAAUGAUUACACCCCAGUUUCUCAUUGUUGUUGCUUGCUAGGUAACGUUAGCUAGCUAGUCAAAGAAACGUAUUAGGUAGGAAGUAGUACGUACCCUGCAAAAUAUAUAAAGUAGUACUUACCCCCGAAAUAUAUAGGCUGCGAUAUCUUCGGUCGAGCUAGAGAGGCUAGUCUGGUUUCCCCCGUUCCUUCGGGGGUUCAAGAUAAAAUCGGCACAGCAUUUAUUCUAGGUAUUAAUUUCCAAUGGGAACAAAGAGCGGGCAGAACAAGCAAGGAAGUGGGCAGAGCCAACCACAAACUAGCCUGCAUGUUUCGAUUGGCGUGAUCUAGUGAGAUGUUGCAUAUUUCCCUAGGAGAAAGCCUACUCUGUAAAUUGCGUGUGUAUACUUAACAUUUUUACUUUGGCAAAUGGUAAAGUCUACAAAACUUCUUCCACUCUGUUCAGCACAGAUUCUAGUUUUGGGUACAGAAAACUGUAUUAAGAUCAAAUGUUUCAUUGAUGAGAUAUUUGGUAUUUAUUUGGUAGUGAGUGGAAACGCCAAGCGGAUGCUUCACAUUUUAUACAUCCAGUGGAAUAUCUGUCUCAUUGUUCUAUCUGUGGUUCAUCUUUGACUGUAG
rnacentral:lncRNA from 1 species